UGGAAAUUGGAUCGAGGCACUGACGUUUAAAUCUUGGCUCCUGCUCCUGCCGUCUAGACAAAGGGCGCACCCAUUGCCGUCUCAGACACCAGAGGCUCCCACUUGACCAGGUUAAAGUCAUAGCCUUCAGCAUUUCAGAAGUGACUGUCUUGGAGACAGGGAAUUUAAGGAGGUAAUCGAGUUGAAAUGAGGUCACAGACUAGACCCUGAUCCAAUAUGACUGGUGUCCUUAUAAGAAGAGGAGAUGAGGGCACAGUUGCACCUAGAGGGAUGAUCACCUGAGGACACAGAGAGAAGACAGCAGCUGCAAGCCAAGGAGAGAGGCCUCAGGAGGAACCAGCCCUGCCCAAACCUUGAUCUUCGGCUUCUGGCCUCCAGAACUGGGAGAGGAUAAAUCCAUGUCAUAUAAGUCACCUUGUCUGUGGGUUUCUGUUAUGGAAGCCUGAGCCAACUAUUACAAGGAAUAUUUGUUGAGUCAGCCAAUGACUCUUCACAGCAGUCAGAAUCUGGACAGAAAGCAGCCCUCACAAGCCCAAGCGAGCUGCACUAAAAUGUCCUAGCUGCUCAUAGUGUGUUCAGUAAAGUCAGAGGGCUCUCAGAGAUCCUGUGCUAUCUAACAGGCACCCCAUUUAUUUCCUGGAGACGCCUCUCAGCCAUCCAGCAGCUUCUGCGGCCAUAGCCUGUGGAUACUUCUCCACACUGACAACGCCCAUUCUGUUCAGGAAGGUUUGUCCACCUUGGCUGGAAUUAGGUGACCCAUGGAAACAUCCCACUGCCCAUGUUUCUGUGCACCUGCGGACACUCGUGGGAAAUGCCCCAUAGCCUGUGUUUUUAUUCCCCUUGUGAACACUCGUGGGAAAUGCCCCAUAGCCUGUGUUUUUAUUCCCCUUGUGAACACUCGUGGGAAAUGUCUCAUGGCCCGUGUUUCUGUGCACCUGUGAACACUCGUGGGAAACACCCAACGGCCCGUGUCUCUGUGCACCUGUGAACACUCAAGGGAAAUGUCCCAUGACCUGUGUUUCUGUGCACCUGCGGACACUCGUGGGAAAUGUCCCACAGCCUGUGUUUUUAUUCCCCUUGUGAACACUCGUGGGAAAUGUCCCAUGGCCCGUGUUUCUGUGCACCUGUGAACACUCG
rnacentral:lncRNA from 1 species